UGACCAGCAGGGAACAAAUACACAGCAGGCAGUGUCCAGAGUGAGUGCCAAGGUUUCACAGUGUCAACCUGUGACCAGGUUGAUGUGUUCCCCUUGCUUAGACAUUUUCAGCAUCUCUUGGGUGGGCUACAGAAAAGCAAAGUCCUCCUUUAUUUCAGUAAACAAGCUAACCACAUCCCAAGCAUUUGUACGUGAGUGUGUAAGGCUGAACAGGAGUUUGGACGGGUGAGGAAACUGUGAGUGCGUCAGGGAUUGAGGUAAAGCGUCACUUUGGAGCAUGUGUCCCCUUUCCCUUUUUUGUUGACUUGUCAGAGUGAACUUCUGUGAGUCUGCAGGGGAGAGAUGUGUGACAGGUCGCAGUGCUGGACCGGUAGGUGCCAAUUGUCUUGGCCACCUGUCCUUGUCUAAUCCAGGCUGUAACACUUCCACUUGUUGUGGAUGCUGCUCUCCCACCUGUCCUUAGGUUGGUGGGUGGGAUAGAACCCAGGUCACGAUGAGCAGUUCUGGCUACCGGGCAUGUUACUUUCCACGUUCAGAUCCUCCAUGUCUCCUGAAGCUAGAAGCAGGUCAGGAAUGUUCUAUUGCUGUAGAAACAUGGCCUUGCUCCAAACCCUGGGCAUCUGCAUGCCAUUCUCUUAUUAGGUCCCACCAGAGGCUUCAAAACUGGCCUUUCAUCCUUCUAACAUGGAUUAGAUAGAGGUUCAAGUGCGGCAACGGGUCCUUUACUCUGGAGGGUACGUCCAGCAUGGCCCAGACUAAUGGAGUCCUAAAAGCCUCAUAGAUGUAGCAGAUCCCUGAAUGGUCGCAGAUGUGCAUGUCCCUGUGUUAUCAGCGAGAGGAGGCGACCUCAGUUCUUUUCUCCUUGAAUGAAA